rnacentral:rRNA from 1 species
UACGUAGGGACCAAGCGUUGUCCGGAAUCAUUGGGCGUAAAGAGCGUGUAGGCGGCUUGUUAAGUCUUGCGUGAAAUCUCGGGGCUCAACCCCGAGCGGUCGUGAGAAACUGGCAGGCUAGAGUGCGGGAGAGGAGACUGGAAUUCCUGGUGUAGCGGUGAGAUGCGCAGAUAUCAGGAGGAACACCGGUGGCGAAGGCGGGUCUCUGGGCCGAAAUUGACGCUGAGGAGCGAAAGCGUGGGGAGCAAACAGG